AAAGAAGGAUGUGAAAACGGGCAAGAUUCUUGCCAAAACAAUUAAUGUAUAUAGCGGGCACAUUAAGCACUUUAAGACCUGAAAUAGUUUUUUGAAAUCCGGCAAAAAAAAUCCAAAAACCAGAAAUGGUGAAUGCACUGGAUUCGUCUGGAGCACGAGAGAAAUUCACGUCGUGAGAAACAGUGUUUGUUAUUUUGCAUUUAUAAAAAAGAAACUCACCUGUAGCCAAAACAGAAAUGCAGUCCAUCAAGAAAACGUUUUCCUUUUCUUUCUCACCUGCACUAUUAAGAAUGA
rnacentral:lncRNA from 1 species